rnacentral:rRNA from 1 species
GAUGAACGCUAGCGACAGGCCUAACACAUGCAAGUCGAGGGGCAGCACGAAGUAAGCUUGCUUACUUUGGUGGCGACCGGCGCACGGGUGCGUAACAGGUGUGCAAUCUGUCCAUAAUCGGGGAAUAGCCCAGCGAAAGUUGGAUUAAUGCUCCAUGUGAGCCGAGGAGGCAUCUCUUUGGUUUGAAACGCAAGGAUUAUGGGUGAGCACGCCUCUGAUUAGGUAGUUGGUGAGGUAACGGCUCACCAAGCCGACGAUCAGUAGGGGUUCUGAGAGGAAGGUCCCCCACAUUGGAACUGAGACACGGUCCAAACUCCUACGGGAGGCAGCAGUGAGGAAUAUUGGUCAAUGGACGGAAGUUUGAACCAGCCAAGUCGCGUGAAGGAUGAAGGUUCUAUGGAUUGUAAACUUCUUUUGUCUGAGGGUAAAACAGCGGACGUGUCCGUUCUUGCAAGUAUCAGACGAAUAAGCAUCGGCUAACUCCGUGCCAGCAGCCGCGGUAACAC